rnacentral:rRNA from 1 species
ACUCCUACGGGAGGCAGCAGUGGGGAAUUUUCCGCAAUGGGCGAAAGCCUGACGGAGCAACGCCGCGUGAGGGAUGAAGGCCUCUGGGCUGUAAACCUCUUUUAUCAAGGAAGAAGAUCUGACGGUACUUGAUGAAUAAGCCCGGCUAAUUCCGUGCCAGCAGCCGCGGUAAUAC